rnacentral:rRNA from 1 species
UACGAGGGGGGCGAGCGUUGUUCGGAAUUAUUGGGCGUAAAGAGCUCGUAGGCGGCUUGUCACGUCGGGUGUGAAAGCCCGGGGCUUAACCCCGGGUCUGCAUUCGAUACGGGCUAGCUAGAGUGUGGUAGGGGAGAUCGGAAUUCCUGGUGUAGCGGUGAAAUGCGCAGAUAUCAGGAGGAACACCGGUGGCGAAGGCGGAUCUCUGGGCCAUUACUGACGCUGAGGAGCGAAAGCGUGGGGAGCGAACAGG